rnacentral:rRNA from 1 species
UACGGGGGGGGCAAGCGUUGUUCGGAAUUACUGGGCGUAAAGGGCUCGUAGGUGGCCAACUAAGUCGGACGUGAAAUCCCUCAGCUUAACUGGGGAACUGCGUCCGAUACUGGAUGGCUUGAGUUUGGGAGAGGGAUGCGGAAUUCCAGGUGUAGCGGUGAAAUGCGUAGGUAUCUGGAGGAACACCGGUGGCGAAGGCGGCAUCCUGGACCAACACUGACACUGAGGAGCGAAAGCCAGGGGAGCAAACGGG